AGAGGAGCGACGACACGUUUAUGAGCCAGUUGGACUGAGUGACAAGUGUCUGCAUGAUGAGCCGUCCACAGAGAGAAGGUGAAGCAGC